rnacentral:rRNA from 1 species
AUUGAACGCUGGCGGCAGGCCUAACACAUGCAAGUCGAACGGUAACAGGAAGAAGCUUGCUUCUUUGCUGACGAGUGGCGGACGGGUGAGUAAUGUCUGGGAAACUGCCUGAUGGAGGGGGAUAACUACUGGAAACGGUAGCUAAUACCGCAUAACGUCGCAAGACCAAAGAGGGGGACCUUCGGGCCUCUUGCCAUCGGAUGUGCCCAGAUGGGAUUAGCUAGUAGGUGGGGUAACGGCUCACCUAGGCGACGAUCCCUAGCUGGUCUGAGAGGAUGACCAGCCACACUGGAACUGAGACACGGUCCAGACUCCUACAGGAGGCAGCAGUGGGGAAUAUUGCACAAUGGGCGCAAGCCUGAUGCAGCCAUGCCGCGGGUAUGAAGAGGGCCUUCGGGUUGUAAAGUACUUUCAGCGGGGAGGAAGGGAGUAAAGUUAAUACCUUUGCUCAUUGACGUUACCCGCAGAAGAAGCACCGGCUAACUCCGUG